UCCGUCGCGCGGCAGGUUGACGGCGCCCGGAGGCUGUCGGGAAGUAGGCGGGGUGACGUGGGGUUGACGCUCGGCGGCGGGUUUGCUGAGGUCCGCGGCCGGUGGCGGACUGGUGCUUGGGGGCUUCGGAGAGCGCGCGGUGGAAGUGGGGCGGCGUGUGGCCGGGGCCAUGACGAGCAAUGCCGGGGAGUGGUGUCUCAUGGAAAGCGACCCCGGGGUCUUCACCGAGCUCAUUAAAGGAUUCGGUUGCCGAGGAGCUCAAGUAGAAGAAAUAUGGAGCUUAGAGCCUGAGAGUUUUGAAAAGUUAAAGCCAGUUCAUGGGCUAAUUUUUCUUUUCAAGUGGCAGCCAGGAGAAGAACCUGCAGGCUCUGUGGUUCAGGACUCCAGACUUGAAACAAUAUUUUUUGCCAAGCAGGUAAUUAAUAAUGCUUGUGCCACUCAGGCUAUUAUAAGUGUGUUACUGAACUGUACCCAUCAAGAUGUCCACUUAGGAGAGACAUUAUCAGAAUUUAAAGAAUUCUCCCAAAGUUUUGAUGCAGCUAUGAAAGGGUUGGCAUUGAGCAACUCAGAUGUGAUUCGACAAGUGCACAACAGUUUUGCCAGACAGCAGAUGUUUGAAUUUGAUACAAAGACAUCAGCCAAAGAAGAAGAUGCUUUCCACUUUGUCAGUUAUGUUCCAGUUAAUGGAAGACUGUAUGAAUUAGAUGGAUUAAGAGAAGGACCAAUAGAUUUAGGUGCAUGCAAUCAAGAUGACUGGAUUAGUGCAGUGAGGCCAGUCAUAGAGAAAAGGAUACAAAAGUAUAGUGAAGGUGAAAUUCGAUUUAAUUUAAUGGCCAUUGUAUCUGACAGAAAAAUGGUAUAUGAACAGAAGAUAGCCGAGUUACAAAGACAACUUGCAGAGGAGGAACCCAUGGAUACAGAUCAGGGUAGUACUGUGUUAAGUGCUAUUCAGUCAGAAGUUGCCAGAAACCAGAUGCUCAUUGAAGAAGAAGUACAAAAGUUAAAGAGAUAUAAGAUUGAAAAUAUUAGAAGGAAGCAUAACUACCUGCCUUUCAUUAUGGAAUUGUUAAAGACCUUAGCAGAGCAUCAGCAGUUAAUUCCACUUGUAGAAAAGAUAUUCUCACGUAGGGGAAGGAAUGUUUAAUAAGUUCCCCAAGUGAUUCUAAUGCAACUGAUCUGUGUACCACAUUUUGAGAAACACUUUGAGAAGACACUACUAGGCAAAUAAAAAUUUGGACCAUUAAUUUAAAGACAAGAAUACAUGGCAAAAGAAAAACAGAAUGCAAAGAAAGCUCAGGAAACUAAGUGAAGAGGAUAUUUGGACCUGCACUUAUUUUCAUGGAAACCAUUACAUAUUAAGGAAAUUUGGACAACAUCCUAAUUGACUCAGUGCACGUUUGGCAUAGUACCAGUCUGUCUUGUCCUUUAUGCAUGGAUUCAAAAACGUCUUCCCUACUUGCAUCAUGUGCAUGUAGUGCAUAUUAAAUAAAAGUGGCAUAAAGAGUGCUGGCCAAAUUCUAUUAUUUGAUAUUGGAUCUGAGAGCUUUUGGUACUCUGCAAAUAUAUCUAUAGUAAUGGACCUGGAAAAUACACAAAUGAUACUUUUUAUCUGUAGUUCUUAUUAAUAUUUUUAUUUGUCAGCUUAAAUAUAUCUAAUUUACAAAUGUCAGAUCUUAUUUAAACUGGGUCCUCUGCUUUUAAUUGUGGCAAAAAUAAUCAGUAUUUUUGUUUCUGAUAUGUGUUUUGCAGAUCUUAAAAUUGAAUUUUAUCUCACACCAAUUUGAUUUUUUAAGGCCAGUCGUUUGGAAAGAAUACAAUUUUUAAUGAUUUACAUUGCUAUCUGUAAAGAAGACAAAUAAACUUCCCAAUUUUAUUUUAGCAAACUUUCUUCAAUUGUUUGGGGUUAUUUGUUUAUAUAUUGUAGGAUUAUUUGAGGAAGGUCUGAAUAUUUUGCUUCAAAACAAAACUGGAGGUCAGAACAUUUUGUAAAUCUUAGGGUUCAACUCUCAAGUUUUCAAGAUCUUUGAAAAUUGAGGAUUUGAUAGUUUGUUAUCUGAGUCUUUUAAAAGAUUGCAGUGGUAGUAGAGGAUUCUUCUGUUUCCAUUUAGUUUCUAGAAGCCAUGUAUGUUAUCUCACACUGGAUUUAAAGACCUGACACUGGAGGGCUUUACAGUCCUGGUUGCUGGAAUUUGCUCUUGUAGACCAGGUUGGCUGCAAACUCACAGAGAUCCUCCUGUCUCUGUCUCCCAAGUGCAGGAUUAAAGUAGGAUUAAAGGCAUGUGCCACCACUGCCCAGCCCUUCACUGGAUCUUUGUCUCUUAAAAGUUGUUUCUAUUUUUCUUCCAAAUUAAACUUUUUUUAAAAGAUUUAUUUAUUAUAUAUAGUGUUCUGCCUGCAUGUAUACCUGCAUGCCAGAAGAGGGCAGCAGAUCUCAUUAUAGAUGAUUAUGAGAGUAGUUGCUGGGUGUACUCAGGAGCUCUGGAAGAGCAGCCAGUGCUCUUAACCUCUGAACCAUCUCUCCAGUCUUGUCCCCCCACCCCACCCCACUUAAACUCUAAAGGAAAUUUUCAUUAUGAACAUCCAAGCAGAGUUUUAAAAUCAGUACAUGGCUUUUUAACAUUUUUUAUGUAAAAUUAUUUUAUUAGGUUAGUUGUGUACACAUUUUCCAGAUUUGGAUUCCAGCUUUGAUUCAGAUUCAGUUUAUUUAAAUUAGUAUACAAACUGAUAGUUUAUGUUUUGGCAUUUUCAUACAUAAUUUUUUUUAUUUUUAUUUUCCUCCUCUUUACUCAU